rnacentral:lncRNA from 1 species
AUGAGAAGCCCCAGCGGCCACCGUCACGUGGGGAUAACAAGAUAUACACAAAAAAGUCAGGAAUUACACAGAUAUUGUUUGCUCUGCAGACCUGAGCUGCCUCUUAAGGGUGCUGAUUACACAGCCUUCUUCAUCUCAGCCUAUGUCCAGAUGGAUCACAGAAUCCUCACCACAAGGGAGCUGGCCAGCCUGACCUGGAAGGACCAUCCAGAAACUCAACCAAGGCACCACAGACUGCUGGGGAAAGGUUCUUGCUGUUUUAAAUAACAUGUCCAGGCCGGGCACAAUGGCUCACGCCAGUAAUCCCAGCACUUUGGGAGGCCGAGGAAGGCGGAUCA